AUACCUUUCUCGGCCUUUUGGCUAAGAUCAAGUGUAGUAUCUAUUUUUAUCAGUUUAAUAUCUGAUAUGUGGUCCUUCGGACCACACGAUAUUAACUCUAUUUUUUUAGGGUGAAGUGUUCGUUAAGGUAGCUUGCUAUCUGGGUCUUUGCGAGUCGUCCAUGCGUUGCACUAUUGCACGGAUCUGGCUCAACCCAC